AAAAGUUGAAAGUAAAUACAUGUGUCCUAUUGCUUUUCUUUCAAAAUCCAAACUGGUUAAACAUCAAAAUAGAAGAAAACUUCAACCUAGUCAAAAAAUGAAUAGUAAAAGAGGAUGGACUCUUUAAUGUGGGCCAGAGUACAAUUGGGCCAAAAGAAAAAUUUUCAAGUGACAAAGUACAGAGAUAACAAACCUAUUUCCCAACCAUCUAAAACACCUUUGUUUCUACUAAUUUCAGCAUUAGAUCAAUGGAAAAAGAUAAAGAAGCAAACCCUGUAGAUACCUUUAAAUCAAUCUUUCUGUUUUCAACAGAAGUUACAGUUGAAUCAAAUCAUUGGUUAAUAAAUUCAUUAGAAACAACGAAUUUAGAUUUGGCUAAAUCGUCAUCACCAACUCGAACAGGGAGACCGAAAUCUUGUCAUUUGAAACAUGUUCUACUCAACUACUGCUGCCUUUGCCAUUGAAUGUUUCAUGGUUUCCACCAUCACUGUGAUGGUGUCUCCGCCGUAUGUUGACUUAAUCUUAAAUGUGCAAGUGAAUAAAAAUUACCAACAAAUUCAAGCGAAGUAUUAUCGGAAUUUGUGACAUAGGACGAUUUGGAGAGAAGAUAUAUGCUUAAAGCCUAAAGGUUACUCCGUGUUUG
rnacentral:lncRNA from 1 species